AACGAACGCUGGCGGCAGGCCUAACACAUGCAAGUCGAGCGAGAUCUUCGGGUCUAGCGGCGGACGGGUGAGUAACGCGUGGGAAUAUGCCUCUUGGUACGGAAUAGCCUCGGGAAACUGGGAGUAAUACCGUAUGUGCCCUUUGGGGGAAAGAUUUAUCGCCAAGAGAUUAGCCCGCGUUGGAUUAGGUAGUUGGUGGGGUAAUGGCCUACCAAGCCGACGAUCCAUAGCUGGUUUGAGAGGAUGAUCAGCCACACUGGGACUGAGACACGGCCCAGACUCUUAGGGAGGGCAGCAGGGGGGAUCUUGAGACAGAGGGGGCAACACUGAUCUGGCCUGGCCGGGGGGGGGUUGAAGGCAUUAGGGUUGAAAAGCUUUUUAAGCUGGGAAAAUAAUGACGGGCCCAAAAAAAGAAACCCCGGCAAAUCGCGG
rnacentral:rRNA from 1 species